UGCCCACCUAAAUUACUUUCAUUCUCGUUUCCUACUCUUGUUUUAAAUCUCUUAGAGCCUUUCCUAUUUGCAAAAGAUCUAGGGCUGGGGAUUUAGCACAAGGGCCAGGGAUUGAGCUCAGUGGUUCUACCGCCUGUCUCGCAAGCUGAAGGUCCCAAGUCCGAUUGCCGGUACCAAAAUGAAAGAGAGAGAGAGAACUGAGCAUGACAGCACAUGCCUGUAACUCAGCACUUGGGAGGCGGAGACAGGAAGAUUGCCAUGAGUUCUAAGUGAGCACAGGCUGCUUAGUGAGUUCAGGCCGGUCUGAUCUACAAAGGGAGACCCUGCCUCAAAACACAAAAAAGGAGGCAGGGACAAGGGGAAAAAAUGAGAACCAAGGUACAAGAUCCCAAUAAUGAAUGUAACUGUACUGUAUACCUAAAAUGUACCAAUAAACUCAAUGAGGAAAACAAAACAAAACAAAUGUAUGUAUUUUCCCUAUUGUCUAUCUUUUAUUUUGCUCUCUCUAUUUUUUUGAAUCUCUUCUAUAAGAGACAUGUGAUAGUUAAGCUUGGUUGCCUGAUGAUCUAUUUCACUUACCACUGUAAGACCUAAAGUCUCCCUUGCACUCCACGGAGCGGGAGCAGCCGAAAGGGCCUUCACGACGCUGAGUCCUUUAGCCCAACGAUGGCUCCGGAGGCAAGACCCAGGGCCUUACUUCCGGGAGCCUUGAACAGCCCAGAGGGCCUCCACGAUGCUGGGACCUACAGCUCAGCGAGGCUCCGGGAGCUCGACGGAGGAACGAGAGUCGCCCCCCGGGAAGGAACACACCAGGCUCGUUGGUUGUCACUUGUAGGUGUCCAGACUCCGGGUCUCAGAGAGGCUGAACUUCACUACCCAUUGCUCCAGACUCAGCUGCUCAAGAGGCUGAGGCAGAAGAAUCUUCAGUUCAAGGACAGCCUAGGCAACAUAAGAGGUACCUGUCAUAUGAUUGGGGGCUGGUGGGUAGAGCUGCGCUUAGUGGUACAACAGCUGCCUAGCAUGCUGAAGACCCUGUAUUUGAUCACUAAUACUUCCCUCUGCCUAACCUAGGCAGCUGCAGUCACCUGAAGAGGCCACUAGGACACCUCAGGCACCAGGAUGGCUGUUACAGCAUGAGGCUUGCACUUUACUGCCUGGUCUACAAUUUCUUUAAUAGUUUUUGUUUUGUUUUGUUUUUAGUUUUGCUUCCAAAUUGUUCUCUUUUGUCUUUUAUUAUCCUAAAAUUUCAUCUUCAGCUUUAACUCCUUCUCAUCUAAUCUCAUUGUAAAAUUCUUGCUGCACUGGGGAUCAAAGCCAGAGCCUUGCACAUGCUAGGCCACAUUUCAGCCUUUCUUCUUUUUUUUUUCCCUACUUUCUUCUGCCUUCCUAAAAUGGUGUCUUGUAUUGACAUAUAGUAAAUGUCUACUAAAUGCAAUGACUAUACUAUUAAUUACAGAAAAUAAUUAAACAUCAACCUUUAAGUAUCUUUCUUAAUUAGGUAUCUUUUUCAAUAUAUUCAUAUUAAAAGUGAUGUGGUCUUUCUUUUUCUUUUUUUUUUGGUACUGGAGAUCAAAAUCAGAACCUUGCACUUGUGAGGCCGGCAGUGGAACCACUGGGCUAAAUCCCCGAGAUGUGGUCUUUCUUGUGAUUUUAAUCAUCAGAUGCUUACUAAUAUUUUUUCUCUUAAUAUAAAGUUUCUCUCUGCAAAAUCUUGAGGUAGGAAAUUAGCAACAGUUUCUUGAUAAUUUCACUGUUUUUGAAAAUACAUGAGGAGAAGCCAACUUAAGCAAUCACAAUUACACUAAACCAGGCAGAAGUUCUAUUUUCAAUUUUUUAAAAAGGUUUUUGUUUAUUUUGGAUUUUGUUUGUUUUUU
ensembl:lincRNA